GUGGGGAAUCUUGCGCAAUGGGCGAAAGCCUGACGCAGCCAUGCCGCGUGGAUGAUGAAGGUCUUAGGAUUGUAAAAUCCUUUCAGCGGGGACGAUAAUGACGGUACCCGCAGAAGAAGCCCCGGCUAACUUCGUGCCAGCAGCCGCGGUAAUACGAAGGGGGCUAGCGUUGCUCGGAAUUACUGGGCGUAAAGGGCGCGUAGGCGGACAGUUCAGUCGGGGGUGAAAGCCCGGGGCUCAACCUCGGAAUUGCCUUCGAUACUGGCUGUCUUGAGUAUGAGAGAGGUGUGUGGAACUCCGAGUGUAGAGGUGAAAUUCGUAGAUAUUCGGAAGAACACCAGUGGCGAAGGCGACACACUGGCUCAUUACUGACGCUGAGGCGCGAAAGCGUGGGGAGCAAAC
rnacentral:rRNA from 1 species